AAUUUAGGGCACUUUAUACAAACACAUUAUUAUUAUUAUUAACUUCAACUCAAUCCUACACAUUAUAAUUAUUAGUUAGGGUUUGUGUGUUAGUUAGGGUUUGGUGAAAUUAGAUAUGAAUGGUGAUGGAGAUGAAGAGAUGAAAAUGGAUAUGAAGAGUGACGAGAAAUCGGUGUAUAUGUGGGGGUAUUUGCCAGGAGCGUUGCCGCAACGCUCGCCGAUAUUGUCGCCGGUCGAAGUUAGGCUGCCGCAGUCGGCGGAUUCCGGUAGGUUUUGGACGGAUGUGUGUGGUGGUGGUUGCGGAUUUGCUAUGGCUAUUUCAGAUACAGGGAAGCUGAUUACAUGGGGCUCUACUGACGAUCUUGGUCAAAGCUACGUGACAUCCGGGAAACAUGGGAACCUUUCCCUCUUCCGAAUGAAGUUUCGUUAGUGAGAGCCGCAGCCGGCUGGGCACAUUGCGUAUGUGUAACCGUAGCAGGAGAGGUAUAUACAUGGGGAUGGAAAGAGUGUGUCCCAUCCGGAAAAGUUGUCGGGGACCCAAACGCGCCUCAAAGUCAAGAGAAAGACGCAUUUGAGAGGCAUAAUCCGUUUUUAACCGAACAAGUGAGCCCUCGGCCACAGGGAUCACGAUCCACAGGUGGCAUAGCUUCAGGUGUAGACGGUAAAGCCAUUGGGGAUGAAAGUACAAAACGGAGACGUGUAUCGUCAACCAAACAAGUGGUUGAAAGUUCAUCGGCUGGCGAUGAACCUCUUUCGGCUUUACCCUGUUUGGUUGCAUUGAAUCCGGGAGUAAGAAUAGCCACAGUUGCAGCUGGUGGGCGACAUACAUUGGCGUUAUCAGAUGUAGGACAGGUGUGGGGUUGGGGGUAUGGAGGCGAAGGGCAGUUAGGUUUGGGGUCCCGCAUACGGAUGGUAUCAUCACCGCAUCCUAUACCUUGCAUUGCCACAUCAUCAGCAGGAAAAGAUAGAUCCGCAUCCCAUCCGAGAGGAACCAUGGAGGGCUAUAGAGUCCCUGGAAGUUAUAUUAAAGGAAUUGCGUGUGGAGGACGACAUAGUGCUGUAAUUACUGAUGCUGGUGCGUUAAUGACUUUCGGUUGGGGACUCUAUGGACAGGUAAGGUAGAACCGUAGAAAUGACGAAGAAAAAGCACACUGAAUGUUCAAGAAGUUCUAUGUGGAAGCCGAUAAAACCGACAUUUUUAAAUUAUAUUUAAGUUCUACAUUUCAUUGUUUGUUGUACGUCUUUAUGUAGUUGCAUAUUGAUUAAUAUUCUAUACUUGUAAUUAUAUUUCUCAUGGUGUAGUGUGGGCAAGGAAGUACCGACGAUGAGCUAAGCCCUACAUGCGUAUCAUCAUUGUUGGGCAUCCGCGUAGACGGUGUUGCUGCGGGCCUGUGGCAUACAAUCUGCAUUUCAGGCGACGGUGACGUGUAUGCGUUUGGCGGGAAUCAGUUCGGUCAAUUGGGUACCGGCACUGAUCAAGCUGAGACGUUGCCACGGCUUUUGGAUGCUCCGAGUCUUGAAAACGAACAUGCGAGAGUUGUGUCGUGUGGUGCACGACACAGUGCUGUUAUUACAGAUGGUAAGGUGUUUUGCUGGGGAUGGAACAAGUAUGGUCAGCUCGGUCUUGGAGACGUAAUAGACCGUAACAUCCCAUCUCAAGUUCCGCUAGACGGCUGUGUCCCAAGAGUCGUUGCGUGCGGAUGGUGGCACACACUUCUUCUAGCCGAGUCACUUACCUGAUGCAUGAUCGGUUCGCUCAUUUGCUGCUAUUAGAGAGCCAGAAAAGUUUUGUUAGGUUAGUAGCUGCUCUCUCAUUGAGGACAAGAGUACAUGUAUAUGCAUAUGUACAUACUAUAGUUUGUUUACAUGUACAAUCAAUCAUAUGUAUGCAUGUAAUCAUCAUUCUUUAAAGUCUCCAAGGUUUCUUCAUUGUACUAUUGGAACUGAUCCUUAAAUUAUUGUACAUAUGUCAAUAACACUUGAUGUA